GAUGAAGAACGUAGCGAAAUGCGAUACGUAAUGUGAAUUGCAGAAUUCAGUGAAUCAUCGAGUCUUUGAACGCACAUUGCGCCCCCUGGUAUUCCGGGGGGCAUGCCUGUCCGAGCGUCAUUGCUGCCCUCAAGCACGGCUUGUGUGUUGGGCCUCCGUCCUCCUCCCGGGGGACGGGCCCGACAGGCAGCGGCGGCACCGCGUCCGGUCCUCGAGCGUAUGGGGCUUCGUCACCCGCUCUUGUAGGCCCGGCCGGCGCUUGCCGACACAUCAAUCUUUUUUCCAGGUUGACCUCGGAUCAGGUAGGGAUACCCGCUGAACUUAAGCAUAUCAAUAAGCGGAGA
rnacentral:misc_RNA from 1 species